CUACAAUAGCCUGCAACUGCCUCCACCGUGCCAUGGGUCUGUCACUCCUCCUGCUCCUCUUGCUGGUGACAGCCAGCUGCUCUGGCAAAUCUAAUUUGGAACGUCCUUCUGCUAAUAUUCUGGCACUUCAGUGGCCGAAAAACGUCUGUAAGGUGAAUGGCUGGACCACCUGUGAAUGUGGAUAUUCACACUGGACCAUCCAUGGCUGGUGG